GUCGGGACCUAAGCAUAAGCAAAAUUGUGAUGGCGAAUGGAAAACAGGUUAAUAUUCCUGUACCGCUGUUAUCGCUUGAGAGACGGAGUGACGCAGGAAGGUAUGCGAGAAGGCUGACGGUUUAGCCUUUCUAAGGGCCCAGCGUGGGCGUGCAGGCAAAUCCGCACGCCUAAACGUGAGACCUGACGGGGAAGUGCAUUUGCAUAAGUCGCAGAUCCUACACUGCCAAGAAAAACUUCUAUCGAUGAGAAGCAGCGCCCGUACUGUAAACCGACACAGGUGGACAGAGUGAGAAACUUAAGGCCGACAGGAUAACUCUAGCUAAGGAACUCUGCAAAAUAGCCCCGUAACUUCGGGAGAAGGGGUGCCUGACAUACCUGAAGGAGAGAAGCGCUCCCAGGGGAAACAGGCCGCAGUGAAGAGUCUCAAGCAACUGUUUACCAAAAACACAGGUCUAUGCUAAGCUGAAAGGCGACGUAUAUGGGCUGACACCUGCCCAGUGCCGGAAGGUUAAGAGGAGGAGUGAGAGCUCCGAUUUGAAGCCCCGGUGAACGGCGGCCGUAACUAUAACGGUCCUAAGGUAGCGAAAUUCCUUGUCGGGUAAGUUCCGACCUGCACGAAUGGUGAAAUGAUUUGAGAGCUGUCUUGGCUGGAGACCUGGUGAAGUUGUAAUGCCGGUGAAGAUACCGGCUACCUGCAGUAGGACGGAAAGACCCCGUGGAGCUUUACUGUAGCUUGGCAUUGGGUUCUGGCAAUGUGUGUAUAGGAUAGUUGGGAGACUGUGAUGUGAUGGCGUCAGCCAUUGCUGAGUCGCUGUUGGAAUACCAACCAUAUGCUGUCGGAAUUCUAAUCUGGCAACGGAGACAGUGCUAGGUGGGCAGUUUGACUGGGGCGGUCGCCUCCCAAAGAGUAACGGAGGCGUUCAAAGGUUCCCUCAGGCUGGAUGGAAAUCAGCCUAAGAGUGCAAACGCAUAAGGGAGCUUGACUGCAAGACUGACGGGUCGAGCAGGUACGAAAGUAGGAGUUAGUGAUCCGGCGGUUCCGCAUGGAAGGACCGUCGCUCAACGGAUAAAAGCUACCCCGGGGAUAACAGGCUGAUACUUCCCAAGAGUCCAUAUCGACGGAAGUGUUUGGCACCUCGAUGUCGGCUCGUCUCAUCCUGGGGCUGGAGAAGGUCCCAAGGGUUGGGCUGUUCGCCCAUUAAAGAGGCACGCGAGCUGGGUUCAGAACGUCGUGAGACAGUUCGGUCCCUAUCCACUGCAGGCG
rnacentral:rRNA from 1 species